rnacentral:rRNA from 1 species
AAAUUGAAGAGUUUGAUCAUGGCUCAGAUUGAACGCUGGCGGCAGGCCUAACACAUGCAAGUCGAACGGUAACAGGAAUCAGCUUGCUGAUUCGCUGACGAGUGGCGGACGGGUGAGUAAUGUCUGGGAAACUGCCUGAUGGAGGGGGAUAACUACUGGAAACGGUAGCUAAUACCGCAUAACGUCGCAAGACCAAAGAGGGGGACCUUCGGGCCUCUUGCCAUCGGAUGUGCCCAGAUGGGAUUAGCUAGUAGGUGGGGUA